GACGAACGCUGGCGGCGUGCUUAACACAUGCAAGUCGAACGGAAAGGCCCUGCUUUUGUGGGGUGCUCGAGUGGCGAACGGGUGAGUAACACGUGAGUAACCUGCCCUUUACUUUGGGAUAACUUCAGGAAACUGGGGCUAAUACCGGAUAGGAGCUCCUGCUGCAUGGUGGGGGUUGGAAAGUUUCGGCGGUUGGGGAUGGACUCGCGGCUUAUUAGCUUGUUGGUGGGGUAGUGGCUUACCAAGGCUUUGACGGGUAGCCGGCAUGAGAGGGUGACCGGCCACAAUGGGACUGAGAGACGGCCCAGACUCGUACGGGAGGCAGCAGUGGGGAAUAUUGCACAAUGGGCGGAAGCCUGAUGCAGCAACGCCGCGUGCGGGAUGACGGCCUUCGGGUUGUAAACCGCUUUCGCCUGUGACGAAGCGUGAGUGACGGUAAUGGGUAAAGAAGCACCGGCUAACUACGUG
rnacentral:rRNA from 1 species